rnacentral:rRNA from 1 species
UACGUAGGGUGCGAGCGUUAAUCGGAAUUACUGGGCGUCAAGCGUGCGCAGGCGGUCUCGUAAGCUGGGUGUGCAAGCCCCGGGCUUACCCUGGGAAUGGCAUUCAGGACUGCGAGGCUCGAGUGUGGCAGAGGGAGGUGGAAUUCCACGUGUAGCAGUGAAAGGCGUAGAGAUGUGGAGGAACACCGAUGGCGAAGGCAGCCUCCGGGGCCAGCACUGACGCUCAUGCACGAAAGCGUGGGGAGCAAACAGG